CGGGAGGUGCGCUGAGCAGGGUCCGCAGCUAAGGUCCAGCGCGAUCCGAGCGCCCAGGACCCUGCGGCCGUGGAGGAGGCGUGCCCUGGGAAGGAGCCGCUACUGGGACCUGAAGAGUGAGGGGAGGGAGAGGGGCCCAGAGGGUGACCUGGAGGAGGGCUCUGGAAGUCACGUCAGGUUGGCUCUUCAGGUUCAUUUCCAUAGUUCCCUGCGGCCUCUGCCUUGGGGAGUUAUGUUUUGUUACCGAGAUCCGCGCUACCAGAUUGCACCGGGGCUGAUUUGGGGGCUGGGAAUUUGCCAUUCUGCUGUACAGACACUGAUUUUUUUUUCUUCUUUUUAAAAAGCAAGAUUUUAGGUGAUGGGCAAGUCAGAAAGUCAGAUGGAUAUAACUGAUAUCAACACUCCAAAGCCAAAGAAGAAACAGCGAUGGACUCCACUGGAGAUCAGCCUCUCGGUCCUUGUCCUGCUCCUCACCAUCAUAGCUGUGACAAUGAUCGCACUCUAUGCAACCUACGAUGGUGAAUGGUAUUUGCAAGUCAUCAGACUGCAUAAAAUCAGCUGCUCGACUGAUCCAAAACAUGGAUGCCACCACUGAGCCUUGUACAGACUUUUUCAAAUAUGCUUGCGGAGGCUGGUUGAAACGUAAUGUCAUUCCCGAGACCAGCUCCCGUUACGGCAACUUUGACAUUUUAAGAGAUGAACUAGAAGUCGUUUUGAAAGGUUAGUAGAGAUUGUGUCUAACCCAAAACUGAAGAUAUAGUAGCAGUGCAGAAAGCAAAAGCAUUGUACAGGUCUUGUAUAAAUGAAUCUGCUAUUGAUAGCAGAGGUGGAGAACCUCUACUCAAACUGUUACCAGACAUAUAUGGGUGGCCAGUAGCAACAGAAAACUGGGAGCAAAAAUAUGGUGCUUCUUGGACAGCUGAAAAAGCUAUUGCACAACUGAAUUCUAAAUAUGGGAAAAAAGUCCUUAUUAAUUUGUUUGUUGGCACUGAUGAUAAGAAUUCUGUGAAUCAUGUAAUUCAUAUUGACCAACCUCGACUUGGCCUCCCUUCUAGAGAUUACUAUGAAUGCACUGGAAUCUAUAAAGAGGCUUGUACAGCAUAUGUGGAUUUUAUGAUUUCUGUGGCCAGAUUGAUUCGUCAGGAAGAAAGAUUGCCCAUCGAUGAAAACCAGCUUGCUUUGGAAAUGAAUAAAGUUAUGGAA
rnacentral:lncRNA from 1 species